rnacentral:tRNA from 10 species
UAUUUUAUUUAUUUAUUUGUUUUGAGACAGAGUCUCACUCUGUCGCCCAGGCUGGAGUGCAGUGGUGCAAUCUCGGCUCACUGUAAGCUCUGCCUCCCGGGUUCAUGCCAUUCUCCUGCCUCAGCCUCCCAAGUAGCUGGGACUACAGGCGCCCACCACCAUGCCCCGCUAUUUUUUUGUAUUUUUAGUAGAGACGGAGUGUCCUCGUGUUAGCCAGGAUGGUCUCGAUCUUCUGACCUCGUGAUCUGCCUGCCUCAGCCUCCCAAAGUGCUGGGAUUACAGGUGUGAGCCACUGCGCCCGACCUCUUAUUAUUAUUAUUAUUAUUAUUAUUAUUAUUUUACCUCAGGAGAAUGUUUGGGCAAUACUUUUACAUUGUAUUAAUACCUUACAUAUGAGGACAUUCUUAUAUGUUGUCUUAUUUAUUUCUUAAUGACCACAGUGACAACACAACUAUCCCCUCUGCUCUCAGUCAAACUAAGGCAAAAAUCAAAGUUAGUGACAAUCUUCCCCACCCUCCAGAACAGAUCUUGCCCCUGAAUAAAUAACUAGAAACAAAAGAUGUGAAGAGGAGGUUCAAGAAGUAGAUAUAGUAUGCUUGUUAGAAUGAAAUUAAAGCAAAUGACUAGCAAUAAUAAAUGAAGCAAGCAGAAAAAGGACUAGAAAAAUUUUAAAGACAGGCAAGAAAAUUUUUUAAAGUUGUAUUUAUGGUAACUAUUAUUAUUAACUGUAUUGUCAGUUAUCUGAAAGUAUACUUUGCCUAUAUUCAAAAGACAAUAUAAUGCAUAAUCGAGUUUUUCUUUUGUUCAAAAACUAAGGUUAGUUCUGUUUUUUAACAUUUCUAUUAUCCAGUGCUUAAUUUAUCUCUCCAUUUCACUGAGAAAUUUUAUUUUAAAAAAUGAUACUACAAAUGUCUUUUAGGGUCUUAGUUUCACUAUGUCUUUCAGAUCUUUAAUUGAGCCUGAUCAAGUGAAUUAAAUGACACCUUCAUGAUGUAGCAGUGUAAAUUCAGCUUCAAAAAUAUCUAACUGAUUCUGACUCUAGUAUUUAGUCAAUUAGAAUGUGUUUAGUAACUGCUAGAUUUUGGGCAGUUUACUAAACUGGAAAAGACAAGAGUACUUAAUGCUGUGUAAACAUGAAGCUUUACUUGACUCACUCUAUUGCCUAUUAAGAACGUUAUCCAAAUUAGCAGUCAUAGUAAUCAAAUACAAGAUGAUACACUAUUGAACUAAAUGCCUUGGAUUUGGCAAUGGAAAUAAUGUUGUAUGUCUAGAAACUUGUGCCUGACCACAGAUUACAGCGUAUAAAAGAGUAUACAGAGAAUGGCAUGGUAGCUGCAGUGACUUCUGACACUAACUACCAGGGGACUCUGCAGGUUAAGGGUACAGUCCCCAACAAGACUAUUUUUACUUCAGAUACCAGCUGCAAGCUCAGGGGUUCCCAAGCCUCUGAUGAACUCACUACAAAUCUGGGGCUCCUCAUUGACUUCUCAAGUAGAAAAAUUCACUAGAAACUGUCAGAACUCAGGAAACUGCUAUUGAUACAAAAGUGGGGCAGGCAAGUGCUGGGAGUAGAAGGGCGGGUCCCUGGCGAGGGCUCCACCCCCCAGACCUGUGCCCACUGACCUAGAUGAAGACAGGCACUCCUGCCUUUGCGCCCAAAUGUUGCAUUUCCCAAGACCACCCUGGCCUGCCACACCCCCAACCUGUGCCUAUGCAAACCCCCAGACCCUAGGAGGCAGACAAACAAGUGACUGGAAGUGGAGCAGAACACAUUGGCAGAAGACACAAGUGGCUGGACGUCAAGAGGACGUUGAGGAGAGCAUGCCGGUGGAAGAGCACAUGACAGACGCCAGCAGGCCUGCAGGCCAUCAACCAGCAGAACAAGGCAGAGUUUGGCCGGGACAGUUGAAGGAGAGCCCCAGCCACGGACAACGGGGAAACUAUUCCCCUUCUGGCUCCCCAUCUGCUGAGAGCUACUUCCACUCAAUAAAACUUUGCACUCAUUCUCCAAGCCCACGUGUGAUCCGAUUCUUUCCCGUACACCAAGGCAAGAACCCCAGGAUACAGAAAGCCCUCUGUCCUUGAGACAAGGCAGAGGUCUAACUGAGCUGACUAACACAAGCCACCUAUGGAUGGCUAAACUGAAAGAGCACUCUGUAACACACGCCCCUUGGAGGGCUUCAGCCGUAAACAUUCACCCCUAGACACAGCUGUGGGGUUGGAGCCCCACAGCCUCCCCGUCUAUAUGCUCCCCUAGAGGUUUGAGCAGUGGAGCACUGAAGAAGCGAGCCACACCCCAUCAUACACCCUGCAAGGGGAACAAGGAAACCUUUCCUGUUUCACUAUAUUGAUGAUGAUAUUUUUAUUAUAGCAAAAAGGAUACAUAUCAGGACCAGUCAAAAAAAUGUAAACAAUGAGGUUGGAAGGGGUCCAAUUGCAAAGCUUUCAUGUCCUCUCGCUUCAGAGACAGGACACAUCAUCCCUCCAGUAUAUUAAUGUGUAACAAUUUACAGAAUAUUGUUAACCAGCAAAGCUCAUCCGAGCAUCAUUUUGAUUACAUAAGCAUGAUUAAUCAGCCAAAUGACUGAACUCAAUCUCCAGCCCCCAUCACCUUCCUGGAAGGCAAACUUAUAGUAUAGUAUAAAAUCCCCAACUGUUAAUUACAUACUAGUCUUUUGGACAUGGCUAGGCCCCAUCCUGAGACAUCUUGUUUGCACAAACUACCGAGAGACCCACUGUUAGUCAUCUCACUGGCUUAUGCCAGUGUGGUCCCAGGGUCUCAUCAUGAAGAACAGAGACACUUCUAUCACUGGGGAAAUUACAAGGAUUUAGAAGCUCCCUCCCAGGAACCAGGAAGAAAGAAAAACUUUACAAAAAAUAGGAUGCCUCUGUGAUUUGGAAAUCUUCAAUUAAGACUUGAGAUUUGAAGCAAGGUAGAUAUAUGUAUUUUCAGCAUUUAUUUACUUAAUGGAACAGCAAACAGAAUUUCCCUAUGUAUUCAGAGGAAAAUAAAUAUGUUGCCUCUAAAGGCAGAUGCAUACUUGACAUUGGACAGAGAACACCCCAACCAUGCCAACAGAAGCAUCCCUGAAAAUUAGAAGGACAAAAAGAGUGGGUAGCACAGAGUUCUGGCAAAGCUGAUUCUGGCACUGUUUGCAAGAUUUGUUGAUGUCUAUUUGAACUGAUGGGCCAUAGGAGCUGCCUACUUCACCAUGUUUGCUGAUGUCACUCUGGUGGCUGAUAGAUUUGGAAUACAUAUGUUCAUCAGGCAAUAUUGGUUCCUUCAGUAUGGCUGAAUUGACUUAAUUGUACAAAUAGAAAGUAAUUUGUUGUAUAUAGGUCUGCUAUAUCGAUGUUUAACUUAUAUAAAUAAAAUAUUUACAGUGACAAAAUUAUUUUAUUCAUACAUUUUCUUUGAAUAGUAUUUCUAAGCCCCAAAUACAUUGCUCUUACCAUCUCAAAAUAAUUGACGUCUAUGGCUCAUCUUAACAGACAUACAAGGGACGCUUUUAACCUUAAGCAUUAAAGGUUUAAUAUCCCCAAAAGCUGAUAACAUCUCUGAAAAGAGGAGAGUGUAAGAAGCUAAUGUCUGACAAUCUACUACCAGUAAAUAUGGGUUGAAUUUAAAACCAUAAUCCUGGGUGAGUCACUUUAUUCUUUGAAUCAGAAAUAAUAAAGGUGUCAACAACAACCAAAAAAAAAGGUUUCUUAAAAAAGCAUUUUGAUUUAACUCUAUUCUGUUUGUCACCAGUAGAUACUGUCUACACUGCAUUGAAAUCAGAAAAUGGAUGACCCAUCUCCUGCAUGAGAUUAUUUUCAGUGGCAGCGGGAAUCUUUGUCUCUUUUGUCUGACCAGAACCUCUCUUUAUCCUCAGAGGAAACCACCUCUCAUAAAAAUCUUAAACUGGUUCAAUUAUAAGAACACGAACAAUUUUGGUAUAUUUUUUGAAAAUAAUUAGUUUUGGGCUGAACGUGGUGGCUCAUGCCUUAAUCCUAGCACUUUGGGAUGCAGAAGUAGGAGAGUCACUUGAGCUCCGGAGUUCAAGACCAGCCUGGGCAACAUAGUGAGACCACAUUCUGCUAAAAAAGAAAAAAGAAAAAGAAAAAAAAAAGAAAAUAAUUAGUUUUGCAACAGUGUCUUAGAAAGACCACAGAUACACAUCUACAGAACCCAACUGGUCCCAUCUAAGUCUUGCUAAACCUUUCACAUCAGAGGCCUGAUAGAAAUUAAGCUAAAUGUUAUGAGCAUCAACAUACAACCACAAGCAUAUGCCAGAAGAGAGAAUCUGACAGCAGCAAAAUGGAUUGUAGGUGCUAGAUAAUGACAUCCCACAUAUAUAUAUUAUAUAUAUAUAUCCCACAUAUUUAUAUACUAUAUAUAAUAUUAUA